GCUGUGUUCGAGCAGAAAGCAGGAAAGCAAACAAGCUGUAUCGUUUUGCAACUUUCCAUUCUCCCCUGGAAAUAAGAGGAUGAUUAUGGUUAAAACUGACUGUGGAUGUCAUUUCGGUGAGUUUCUGGUUGAGUCUGGGGCGGACUGAUGGAAUCUCACGGCUGUACGGAAUCUGGGAAACUUCAAACAGAAACACUAACAAGGAAGAGGAAACGAGAAGCUGACUGCCCACUCCCUUCUCAACAAGAAGCUACCUCCUGUGGACAGGACGAGGAUUGAUACCUACUCCCCAUUAGUGGUUUCCUAGACCAUUAUAUUGUGCAGUUAAAAGACAACCACAUUGCUGUGGGUCUGGAGUCACAUGGAAUCCUCUAGACCAGAUUAGAGUUUAAGGUAAACUAUGAAGUGGAUCUUCAAUAAAUAUUAUGGAACCAACGCUGAUUUUAAAGGCCAUAAGAAACUAUAGAAGGUUGUGUGAAUAGCCCAGACCAUCACGGAAGUCAACCU